rnacentral:lncRNA from 1 species
UCGUCUCCUUCCUUCCUCCAGCUCCCUCCAGAUCGAGAAAGAGAUCGCCGCCGCCACCUCCCUCCAGCGGAGCUCGCCGUCGUCCAUGGCCUCCCCACACCCUCCUGCUCCGCCCGCUCCUCCUCCCUCCACGCCUACCGCACACCAUUGCCGAUUUCCCAAACCAGACCGCCUCCCCGGUUCAUUCCUUCCUCCCCUCCCACCCACCCGUCUCGGCGCCGCCACCCAACUCGCCGACGACCUUACGCAUCGCCGCCGACCUACGCUCACACCCGCUGCCCCACCCUCUCCACCUCCCCUUCUCCCCCUACCCCGGUAGCACCCAGGCCAACAACACAUGCAGCGGCAAGAUCCAAGAUCCAGCAAGCUGGCCUAUGCCUCACCGGAGGCGCACACGCAGAGUGAGGUGGGCUGCCCGCGUGCACACGCCAUGGACCUCCGUCACGGGACGCCAACACGUCUUGUCUGCCCGGCCGCAUCACCAAACGGUUGCCUGCCUGCUCCCUGCCGACGCCAUCCCGUGCUUGGGACGCCGCGCCUACCACGCCCCGACGUCCCUCCUCCCUCUCCCCUGCAUCGGCCUCGUCGUCCGUCCCCGAGGUACCCCGCCCGACCACCCCCAGUUAGUUCUCUUCUCCGUGGCUGGUUCAGCGUGACAUGUUCCUGACAUUUUUUCUCUCCUCUCUGUGGUUGGGCAGAUGGAGAGUGUGCUCAAGGAUGAUGCCAUCCAGGAGAAGGGUGAAUGUGCUAGGGUGGUAACCAGCCCCCUCCCAUCUGAUCUGCUUGUUUUCCUUCUUGGUCUGACUGGGUUGGUUCAUUCGUCAGUUGGUUGGAUGGCGCUGCUACAACUGUGUGCAAUUAGUAUAUAGUGAUCUCACUUAGACUACAAAAUCCAUAUAUUUUCCUGAUCUUUGUAUAGGUGGUAUGAUUAUAACUGAACCAUAUGUUCUGUUUUAUAAUAUAUAACUGAAUCAUGAGUUUGUUUCAUAUUUUAAACCUACAUGAAAGGAAGUGUGAUUGUUGACGAUGGUUAUUGUUGCUGAAUCCAUAUCCUGGUUCAGACUUAUAUUUUGCUAUUCUUAGGUGGCGGGCUUAUACGGCAUCGCGAGCAGGAGGGCCAUGAGGGGUUUGCUGCUCUUCUCCUAGGGCGACCAAGAGGUCCUGCCCCGAGCUCAUGCACGUCCACGCCGACCCACCACAACAGGUAGCAUCUCCAUCUCCCUCUCAUCUUCCUCUGCUCUCUAUUGCUGCUCCGAAUUAUACAUGUAGGCAAAGAGAUGUCCCUAUUUUCCUCAGUACUAUGCACUGCUAUAUUUAUGUGGUUGUCUUUGUGUGCAUCUUAUUUUGAAACCAAGUGAGACACCUCCAUCCCCUACAUCUUGACGAUCCCUCAUGCAUUGCUCUCACUACCUCCUGCUCAUAGAUUUCCAAUUGCCUUUGUUGCCUGCUCACUUAAUUAAUUAAGUGAUCAACAUCAUUUCUAUGUAGAUAUGCAACUCUUGAGUAUAUUUUCCUUAUAUGCCCCUUUCAUACCAUUCCCACUCAAAUCAAAGCUUGUGUAUGCACUUGAUAUUUGCAAUGAGACUUGAGAGAACAUCCGUAUGCACUGAAGUUUUCUCUAAUAUAGAUUUUUCAAAUAAUAUUGAGUGGACAUAUAGAAGAAAGCUUGUGUAUGCACUGAAGUCUCAAAACAUGUCACCACUUGUAGAUGUCUACGUGCUGGCACCUCCACUUUUAUCCCAGCUUUUUCCGCUCACAGCUGUGGCAUGUUAUAUCGGCCAAUGCUAUCAUGAUAGGAACCUAUGUGAACACAAGUUUUUGUAUAUACCCUUUUUGCAUCCGAGUUUUGUAGCGACAUCACAGAACCUUGUGGACAAGAUCUAAGACAGUUUAGGUACAUGAUUCUUGUUAUAUGACUGCUUUCACAUAUGCAAAUUCUGCCUGUGCAUGUUUUCUGAGAUGGCUGAAACGCACGCCAGGUCCUGCCUGUGCCUGGGGGCUUUGAAUUUCGUGUUUGGUACUGAAUACUGAUGCUGGGACGUGGGCGGUUGUAUUUUAGGAUUUGUAGAUCUGUUUCUUCCCUAGCGUUGUUGUAUGCUGGAAAACAUUGUCAGGGCUUGCAGGUUUUUUAUCGCUGUACUCUGUUGGUCAGCUCUGUACUUGUUAUAAGACUUGUUAGAGAUUUCAAUAUGUGUUGCACAUGUAUCUAUAUAUGUAUUUAAGAGUGUAGAUUUUUACUCAUUUUGCUUUGUAUGUAGUCCGCAUUGGAAUCUCUAAAAAGACUUAUAUUUAGGAGUAAUUUAUAGUACAUACGUCUUUAUCUAAAAGCGUGAAUGGCUCAGAAUCUGAUAUGCUAUUUGUCAAGGAGUACUGCUGCAUAUCAACAAGAAGUACGUAGGGCUAUUUGACCGACUCACUUCCUAGCCAUAGUAGCUAGUGCUUAGCUCUGUAUGGUGGUCGUUGCUUUGUUGAAUUGCUUGGUGUUGCUGUAGCCAUAGUAGCCAGUGCUACUAUUUCCACAAUCGAUGCUUACUGAAAGAUCAUGACUAGUACUGUGACAUAUGCUCGGUGACUAAAAAUAUGUUGAUUUAUAAGAUUUUUUCGGUAAAGCGGAACUUCUUAAAUAUUGCAUGCUGAAGUAAACUGAAAUGUGCAGCGCAGUACAUUACCAGAAGCAGAAUGGCCAUGGACUCAAUCAUUCUUUGUUAUUACAGUUUGACUGUAUCUCCAAUGCACUCAAUCAUUCUUUGUGAUUAUAGUUUGACUGUAUCUCCAGCAUUGACAAAUACUAUUGCUUGUUCAAAUUUAUAUUGGAGUUGCUUGUUCAAAUUUAUACUGGAGUUGCUUGUUCAACAUUGAUAAAAUGUCAUUGCUUGUUUAAGGACUCCACUAAACUGUAUUGUAAAUUAUUCAUUUUGCUGCUAGUGUCCAUUUAGCAGUUUUUUUACUAUGUUCCUACCAAGAUGAUUCAGCCAUUUAUUUGUUUUCCUGCAGCGAAGUGUGGCUGGACGAUCGAGGCUGCUAUUCUGCCUUGAUCUGCACACAAAGAGUUCCUAGACCUGACUUGAAGCAAGGAUACCUACGGCUGCAAGCCAACAAUAUCUGAAGACGGGUGCUGCUUGCCUAUGUUCUCAGCAUAACUAUAGGCUGCCAUGUCUUUUCCACUUUCCUUUUCGCUUUAUGUAAUGCUAACUUGACGGUCAGCCAAUAGUUAUGCGAAGAACAUCGGCAAGCAGCACCUAUCUUCAGACAUACACUGCCAUGUCUUGUUCCAUUAAUCACCUAGUCCUCCUAUUAGUGACAUUCAUCUAGUAUUUUAUUUUGCAAAGCAUGCAAUGGUUUGGAGUACUUGAUCAUGGCCUGAUGGAACCUACAUGUUGUGGUUUACACAUUUACACAUUCAUGGUUUCCACUGCUGUUUGUAAUUGUUCUGGUUAACUAUGCUAGUAGAUAUCGCGUGGGAUCUGUAGCUAGUGUCUGUUGUGCAUGUCCUCUUUGACGAGUUCAUUCUUUGAAAAAUAUUUCUUGAUAAGUUGCUUUCUUUCCAAAUGCAUACUAUUAUUUCAGAUGCUUUCUAUACUUUAGCUAGUGUCUGUUGUGACAUCUUUCUAUACUUUAGAACUACCACUUAUCAUGUUGCUUAUUUCUGAUGCUUUCUAAGUUGGUAAUAUAUUUCACCAGUACUUGAUUCCCUUUUCAAAUUGUUGUUGCCAUGUGGUUGUCCUUCCCAUUAGUUCAUGUGAAAUUUGGAUUUUAAGAUUAUGGCUUAAUAUGUUGUCUCAUGUUGUUGAUUUCACUUGUGCAGAAUCUAUUGACUAAUCUUGACAAGUUUUGCUCUUCUGACCGCCCGUGCUGCUGCUCUUUGUGCUAAGAGUCCUUGAGUGCUAAAGUGCAUGUCUCGACUUGACUGUGGUUACAAUUAUGGGUUUACUCAAGUUAUACCAAGGGCAGUAAACCAUACAGUGCUCCUUUGUUUGUACUUGCUAGUAUUAAAUUUACGCUCCUUGGAAAGUGCUGGGAUUAGAUAUACCAAGUACCAACCAGACAAGGCUAAAGUAUAGCUGAUCAGGCUUGCACUGCCCUGAGUGAUGCAAACCUAUAGUGGUUCUUUAUAGUUCCUUAAUCUACUGACCGAUUUCUAGUAAAGCUAAUAUACACAUUUGCUGGCUCUGUUAAUGGCUAUUUUAUCAGAAUGGUGCCUGUGUACUUUUGUAAUUUGGUGGUUGUUCUAACAUUUGUUAUCAACUCAUGUCAUAUACUAAUGUCAUCACUUUAAUUCAUGGGUUGCACAUUAGAAGAUAAUCAUGGUUUUGUUGUAUCACCAUAUUUACCAGGUCCACGAUGGCGUCUGGCCUGUCGAGUCCUUCUGCAGCCGCUGCAGCUACUCCUUCCACAGCUUGGGUGGGACUCGUCGGAUUGGCCUCCUCCUUUCCCAUUUCGGGUAGUACAUCCUUCUUGCUCGAAUCUACUAUUUGAUCUACCUGCACAUCUCUCACUCCAGCGCAGAAUUGAUGGGUUCUUCCUGGAUUCUUGUGUAAUGAGCUCUUCUUUUUUAGUACUUCUGUAAUGUUAUUAAGAAAUAAAAUUCAUAUGUUUCUAUAUAUGUUCUUUUAGAUAAGUAUGUCAAUACAUAACUAGUAAUGUAAAUGGUGUGACGCAGUUCUAAAUAUAAAUGCAAAUAGCUUGUGAAUGUCACUCUCAUGUAUCAGGGUCCUAUUCUUGUAAACCUUAUGUAAAGCUAAAAUUCUUGUUGUGUGCAGGGCGGCUAGUGAUGCAGCAAACUAAGCAGUAGCAGGCACACCAAGCAGUAGCAGGGGGAGGGUAUCUCUCGAACGUCGCCGCUGCCACUCAUUGCUUCUGUCACUGAUUAAUUAUGGAUGAUCGCUAUUAGUUUAGCUCCUUGGUAUUCCCCCCCUCUCUCGCAAGCGUGUAGAAAUAGAUAUGGUAGCUGUAGUCCCAUGUAGUUGUAGUUCAUGUACUCGGUCUGCCCUUGGUUGCUUCAUUUCUAUGUUAAUUCAGUCUCUAUUGAAUGUAUCUACUAUCUAUUGUUAUGGCUGUUGAAAGAAAUGAAAUGGUUUGGAUACAUACGUACAUGCUGAGAUGUAAGCUGGAACAGCCAUCUGCCCUUGUGAUGUCAAGCUUCUAAAUGCAUGUUGUGGAGGCUCAAAAUAGACAGGAUUGUAAAAGGGCCGAGGCCCAAAAAAGAAAUGAAAUAUAGAAGGCUACGUCCUAGAAAAUAAAAUGGGCCAGGCCCAUGAACC